GCGAAAGUGGCGGAAUUGGUAGACGCACCAGAUUUAGGUUCUGGCGCCGUAAGGUGUGGGGGUUCGAGUCCCCCCUUUCGCA
rnacentral:tRNA from 1 species